AUUGAACGCUGGCGGAAUGCUUUACACAUGCAAGUCGAGCGGCAGCGCGGGGCAACCUGGCGGCGAGCGGCGAACGGGUGAGUAAUGCAUCGGAACAUGUCCAUGUCGUGGGGGAUAGCCCGGCGAAAGCCGGAUUAAUACCGCAUACGCUCGAGAGAGGAAAGCCGGGGACCGCAAGGCCUGGCGCGAUUGGGUUGGCCGAUGUCCGAUUAGCUAGUUGGUGAGGUAAAGGCUUACCAAGGCGAUGAUCGGUAGCUGGUCUGAGAGGAUGAUCAGCCACACUGGGACUGAGACACGGCCCAGACUCCUACGGGAGGCAGCAGUGGGGAAUUUUGGACAAUGGGGGCAACCCUGAUCCAGCCAUUCCGCGUGAGUGAAGAAGGCCUUCGGGUUGUAAAGCUCUUUUGUCCGGAGCGAAACGGGCGCGGCCAAUACCUGCGUCUACUGACGGUACCGGAAGAAUAAGCACCGGCUAACUACGUGCCAGCCGCCGCCGUAACAC
rnacentral:rRNA from 1 species